GACGAACGCUGGCGGCGUGCUUAACACAUGCAAGUCGAACGGAAAGGCCCCUUUGGGGGUACUCGAGUGGCGAACGGGUGCGUAACACUUGCGUAACCUGCCCUUGACUUCGGGAUAACUUCAGGAAACUGGGGCUAAUACCGGAUAGGAAUCCUUGCUGCAUGGUGGGGGUUGGAAAGCUUCGGCGGUUUUGGAUGGACUCGCGACUUAUCAGCUUGUUGGUGGGGUAGUGGCUUACCAAGGCUUUGACGGGUAGCCGGCUUGAGAGGGCGACCGGCCACAUUGGGACUGAGAUACGGCCCAGACUCCUACGGGAGGCAGCAGUGGGGAAUAUUGCACAAUGGGCGGAAGCCUGAUGCAGCAACGCCGCGUGCGGGAUGACGGCCUUCGGGUUGUAAACCGCGUUCAGCAGGGGCGAAGCUUGUGGUGACGGUACCUGCAGAAGAAGCACCGGCUAACUACGUG
rnacentral:rRNA from 1 species